rnacentral:rRNA from 1 species
UGGACGGUACAACGAGUCGCAAGCUCGCGAGAGUAAGCUAAUCUCUUAAAGCCGUUCUCAGUUCGGAUAAGAGGCUGAAACUCGCCUCUUUGAAGUCGGAAUCGCUAGUAAUCGCAGAUCAGCAUGUUGCGGUGAAUACGUUUCCUGGUCUUGUACACACCGCCCGUCAAACCAUGAGAGUCGCCAACACCCGAAGUCCGCUUUGCGGCCUAAGGUGGGGGAGAUGAUUGGGGUUAAGUCGUAACAAGGUAAC